CGCGCGUUCGGCUACCGGUCAGGCCACCGAGCUUUCACCUCGGAGGAACGGGUUCGACUCCCGUACGCGCGACC
rnacentral:tRNA from 1 species